AUUUGUUAGGCUGCAGUUUUAAAUGAGUACAGCUGUAGAAGGUCCAAGCUCACCAAGUCCAAGACGAGAGAAUGUGGUUGGUUUGCCAUUCACAUGGCUGGUCUUGGUUUGGGAUUUUUGUUACCUGAGGGACAGUCUCUGCUGAAAAAAAAAAACCCUAGCAGAACCAGGCUGCUACUGUGACUGAGAUCAUUCUUCUGUGUCUACAUAUUUUAUAUGCCAAAGGAGAGUACUUCCUUUGCCUGUCUAAGCUCCAAAACUAACCAUUCCUGUCUCUAAGCUUGUCAAUGCUUUCAACAGCAUAGCUUGGAAUGGUGCCAAAGAGAUCUACAACUAGUUUGUAUUCAUUUGGAAUUUUCAGUACCCAUUUUCCAAGAUAGACAAGAGAUUCACAAAUUUUCCGUCUCUGAAAAUGCUCCUGUUUCUGCCUUGAAGGGCUGUAUCAUAUCUAGCCUGUAAGAAACAAGAGAGGUCUGUGAAGAACAGCUUGGGGAAAAAAAAGCUUUGUCCCUCAAAACUGAUGUUAGUGCUUCAUAAGCCAGAAACAAUGGGAAAGAGGCACCUCACCGAUACCAAGAUGUAUGAUGUUGCUGUUCAGUUGAAAGGUUCGCAGGAGGUGGAAGUGUAAGUGGACUCAGUGCAUGGAUGGGAAUCGCUUCCUCUCUCGACUUUCCUUGACACAACUUGCUCAGGAGGAAUGCAAAGGAUGGGUGGGAUCUUCCCCAGCAUGAGAGUGAAAGGAAGCCACAUACCAAAGAGAUGACGGUGGCACAAGAAAUGCUGCAGCUGCUAAUUCCACCUCCACCCUGUGGGACAACUGCUUAGCAAUAUUUCAAAGGCAAAAACAAAGUACAGGAAAAAAGAAAAAAAAUGGAUUUAACAACUUCCUUGACUGGAGGUCUGGAUAAGAGUGGAGCACAUUUUAAAGUGGACUUUAUGGCAGAAAUACAUGUGGCUUUACAGACAUCUGUGCCUGGGAUUCACAGAGCCCAAGUGUACAUUUGUACAUGAAGCACAAUCAGCUAUUCAAGGCAUUUGGCAAGAAACUGGAAUAUUGAUGCCAUUUCAAUAUAAUACGUGUUCAUCUCCUGUGCAUCACUAAUGCCAGUUUUACCAGAAAGCUGUAGCUGAGAAUUCCAUCCAGAAUUCUUUCUGCCAUUCUUCAUUACCAGUGCUUGAAAGGGCAGUGUCCUCCUGCUGAACUUUUAAAUUGUUAAUUUCAGAAAAAUACAUUCCCUUUCAGUUUUAUGUAACACACGAAGAGAAAAUGAGUUUAAGAGUGGAGACAGAGUGUCAUAUAUCAAUGGCUGGGAAACAAAAUUUAAAGAGAAUGAACUCAAGAGAUCUACAGCAUAAAGACUAUAGUUAAUAACAAUGUUUUACAUACUUAAAAAUUAAUAAGAGAAUCAAUUUGAAGUGUGUUCACCACAAAAAAAUGAUAGGUAUGUGAGGUAAUGCAUAUGUUGAUUAGCUUGAUAUAGCCAUUCCACAAUAUAUACGUAUUUCAAAACAUCAUGUUGUACAUAUAAAUAUAGUUUUUAUUUUGCAAUUUAAAAAAUUGUUCUCAUUUGACCUUUGUACUUCCCUGACUAUAUUUCUGUGUCUCUAUAUCCCAUUUAUCUGCUUGUCUGUCUAUCUUCACCUCAUUCACUUUCUCUUCCUUCAAGCUUUCACAUUGCAUGUCAUUGUUUGAUGGCUCUGCAGUCAGGAUGGACAAUUAAGAGACUGUUUCCCGAACAUCCACUAUGAGUUGGGUAGGAAUGUCUUUGAACUCAUGAAAAUUGCCAUCUGGAAGUGAAGACAAAUAUGAGACAUACUUAAAAGUGUGAUGAGUGUCAAGAAAAGAAAUACAUAGGAUACUCUGGAAUCAAAUAGCGAUAGUAACAGUAAUAACAACUAAGGUUAAUUCCAUGCUCACUAUGUACCCAGGCACUCUUCUCAGUGAUUUAUAUGUAUUAUUAAUUUUAAUGUACAUAUCACAUCCAUGAGGUAAUGUACUAUCACUUUCCAUUUUAUAGAUGUGAAAAUUAAAGCCCAGAGGGAUUAAAUACUUAAGUAUUUUUCCAAGGCUGCCCAGAUAGAAAGCGGUGCACUGUGAUUUGAACCAUGUGGUUUGGCUACUGCGCCUCUGUGCACUCUAAGUACACUCUUAUACACAAGAGAAUUUAGCUUGAUCUGCCUGGAGAAAGUGUACUACAGUUUAAAAUAAUAUUAAUACAUUUUGGGGAUUUAUUUGAGUACUCCUUUAAUAAAUGUGAGCAAAUAUUUUUCUCUUUAAAAAUUAAGGUAGAUUGAAAAUAAACAUAAAAUGCCUCUAAAUGUAAAGUAGUGGGAUCCUGGGAAAAAAUGGCUAUGAAGGAAACGCUAGUGCAAUUCACAUAAAGUGAGGCAUAAUGCAUCAAUAUCGGUUUCUCAGUUGUGACAAAUAUACAAUUGUAAGAUGUUAACAACAGGGGAAAAUGGGUAAGGAAUACACAGGGGUUCUCUGUAUUAUAAUAUCUUUGUAACUUUUCUGUAAAUCUAAAACUCUUCUGAAAUUAAAAAUUUACUUAAUCAAAAAAGAAACGAAAAGAAAAUAUCUGCUAGACUGAUCAACCCCCAUUAAGCAUGUAUUAGUUGCAAACUAAACAGUUCUCUAGAAAAGGCAACUCCUCUUUGGCACGUUCUCUCUGCUACUCAGGCAGGCAGCACGGCAGCAUCUUCAGCAUCUCACAGGGCAUCUGUGCCCAUUUGUUUCUUGGCCUCUUACCUGGUCAGGCCACGCAGAUCAUACAUUUUUGCAACACCAUCCUCUUUAACCUGUAUAUCAAUGUACUCAGCAUCAUUUCCUUGCCCUUUUCCUGUUCAGUAGAAACUGGUAGCCCUUGUCCUGAUUCCACCCA
rnacentral:lncRNA from 10 species